rnacentral:rRNA from 1 species
GACGAACGCUGGCGGCGUGCUUAACACAUGCAAGUCGAACGAUGAAGCUGGAGCUUGCUCCGGUGGAUUAGUGGCGAACGGGUGAGUAACACGUGAGCAAUCUGCCCUUGACUCUGGGAUAACUGCGGGAAACUGUAGCUAAUACCGGAUACGAGGCUCGAAGGCAUCUUCGGGUCUGGAAAGAAUUUCGGUCAAGGAGGAGCUCGCGGCCUAUCAGCUUGUUGGUGAGGUAAUGGCUCACCAAGGCGACGACGGGUAGCCGGCCUGAGAGGGUAACCGGCCACACUGGGACUGGGAAACGGCCCAGACUCCUACGGGAGGCAGCAGUGGGGAAUAUUGCACAAUGGGCGAAAGCCUGAUGCAGCAACGCCGCGUGAGGGAUGAAGGCCUUCGGGUUGUAAACCUCUUUUAGCAGGGAAGAAGCGAAAGUGACGGUACCUGCAGAAAAAGCACCGGCUAACUACGUGCCAGCCGCCGCCGUAA